ACUUGAGUAGACUACGUUAGUCGAGUUACAACCGAUUGCAUAACGUUUAUCAACCGUCGCGUUGUGAAUCUGUUAUAGAGGAACUAAGGCAGUGUUGCAUCUUACACAAGGCUAAGUCGACGGUUUGCGAGGGUAUCGAUAUUUCUAAGCCGUACGAGCAUAAUACAGUGAAUUAU